GAUGAAGAACGCAGCGAAAUGCGAUAAGUAAUGUGAAUUGCAGAAUUCAGUGAAUCAUCGAAUCUUUGAACGCACAUUGCGCCCCUUGGUAUUCCGAGGGGCAUGCCUGUUCGAGCGUCAUUAUAACCCCUCAAGCUCAGCUUGGUGUUGGGGCCUGCUGCACUGGCAGCCCUUAAACUCAGUGGCGGCGCCAUCUGGCUCUAAGCGUAGUAAUUCUUCUCGCUAUGGAGUCCUGGUGGAUGCUUGCCAUCAACCCCCAAUUUUUCUAUGGUUGACCUCGGAUCAGGUAGGGAUACCCGCUGAACUUAAGCAUAUCAAUAAGCGGAGGA
rnacentral:misc_RNA from 1 species